AAUAACUUCGGGAAACCGGAGCUAAUACCGGAUAAUAUAUUGAACCGCAUGGUUCAAUAGUGAAAGACGGUUUUGCUGUCACUUAUAGAUGGAUCCGCGCCGCAUUAGCUAGUUGGUAAGGUAACGGCUUACCAGGGCAACGAUGCGUAGCCGACCUGAGAGGGUGAUCGGCCACACUGGAACUGAGACACGGUCCAG
rnacentral:rRNA from 1 species